GGCGGUGCAGGCUGUCUGGGUCCGGCCACGCGCUCCCCAGCCUGCUGUGCCCCGCCUGCACUGCGCACCCUGACUGGGGCUGCGAUGGAACCCAACCCGCCGCACUGAGCGCACCUCCAGCCCUGUUUAGUUUUUGAAUCAGGGGCUUACUAAGCUGCCCAGGUUGGGCUCGAAUUUGAGAUCCUCCUGCCUCAGCCUCCCAGAGUGCUGGGAUGACAGGACUGCAUCACCCCACUGGGCUGGGAGAGCUCCCCCCACGGUGACCUCCCUGGCCCGAGGUACCUGUGGCAUUGCCCAGGAUGGCCCGGAGGCUGAGGAUCUGUGCCAGGAAGAUUCCGAAGAUGACAGACACCUCGACCAUGGAACCCAGUGCGCCGCGUAGCUCCUUGGGGGCCAGCUCUCCCAGAAGAAACCCUGAAGUAACUGCUCGCCUGCUGACCAAGACCCAAAUUCUCGAGCGAUGCCUGGUAAAACCCUAUGGGUUUUCUGUGCGUAAAGUGUUUCUUUUUUUUUUUUUUUUUUUUGUGGUACCAGGGAUCCAACUCAUGACCUUGUACUUGCCAGGCAGGCGCUUAUGCCACUGAGCUAAAUCCCUAGCUGCUGUAAAAAUGUUUCUGAAGAGAAGAUUUUGUUAAAGGAAGGGAAGGGGCUGGAGAGCAAGAGGUUUGCAAGGCCCUGGGACAGAUUGAGGAGGAGGAGGAGGGGAAAUCUGCAGACAGGGACACUGGGGACCCCGGCCACGCCUGCCAGCCACGGAGGCAUCUCAGAGCCCUGGGCAUCCCGGGGUGCUGUGGCAGGUGGGGGCCUCUGUGACCCUGGGUACCUGCGCAGACUCCCACCAGCACCCGUGAGACGAUAAUCAGCUCGAACGCCCGGGCCACGCCGCUGACACCCAUCAGGAUGGCGGGGAUGAUGGCCAAGAUGCUGUUGAUCAGCAGGGCUCCCUUUCUGCAAGACAGGGCCAGGCCAGAGCAUGGUGCGGGCCCGGGAGGGGCUGGGCUCUGUCCCUCUGGUGCUCAGUGGGGUUCCAGGAGCUGCUUAGGAAACAGAACCAACUUCCUGCUCCCCUGAGCAGGUUCCACCUGCCUCCCCAGCUCCGGCAGGUGCAGCACGCAAAGUGCAAAGAUCCGGGCAGCGUUUGCAACGCAGGUUGGAGAGCAGACACGUGUCUGACCCCUCCUGACCCGAGCUCAGAGUUCCAGCUCAGAGCAGGCUGCCCCCACUGCUGGCUGGCCGGUCCCUGCACUCGGGGUGACCCCGUCAAAGACCUUUGGGACCAGCUGUGCCCAGGGCUGGGCAGGCAGGCCCUUGCUAAGUGCAGUGAGGACUCUGCUCUGCCGGUGACGGAGGGAUGCUGUUCUCAUGCCAUUGCCUGGGAGGGUGAUCCAGGGGGACCCCGGGGGUCAGGAUGUCUACAGCACGCUGGGAACUGUCAGGGCCCCCUUGAAGCUGUAUUGCCCAGAGAUUUGGCUUCGCUGACAGUCGGAUUUACCUGCCACACCGAUCCACCAGCAGGCCAACCCCAAGGGAUCCCAGCAGGCCGCCCAGGGGGAACAUGGACACCGUGCAGGACCACAGCAGCAGCAGCGUGUUCCCAUCCAGGGGCACUCCGUAGCGCUCGAAGUACCUGGAGAAGAGAGUAUCCCACCUGCCCCCAGCCGUUGCCCUCUGUGCCCACCUGGUGCGGCGUGUUGACCACAGCGAUGUUGUAGCCGUACUGGAAGCCGGAGCCCAGGGAGGAGCUCAGCGUUGCCAGCACCAGGGAAGGAAAACGGCUAUGAACAUUAAAAGUCAAUGAGUUACUGAGCAAAGAUGCCUCCUGUUCCAAUCAUCCCUACUGGAAAAUGGAUCGGAACAUGGUUGAAGACUCAGGAUGCAUGAAAAUCUUAAGCUGUGAGCAAAACAUGUGGUGAACGUUUAAAAAUUUUAAGCCAGGGGUGGUGGUGGGCAGCCGUGGUCCCAGCACUGGGGAGGCUGAGGCAGGAUUGAAGGGAGCUCAGACCAGCCUGCGCUGCACAGUGAAUUCAAGGCUGGCUGAACUGGAGCUGCCACCCAUCCGGCUCAGAGACUGAUCCAACACUCCUGCUGCUGACUGAGGCAGCUCCGGAGUCCACUUUCCCGAGUGUCUGGCUGCACUGGCGUGGCCACUUCCAUGCCCUGAAUGAGCUCUGAACACUUCCCCUUGGUGACCGGAAGUCACGCUGCACUGGAUCUGGAUAUCAGGCGAUCAGGACAUGGCGGGGUUUUAUUUUUGGUACUGGGGCUCAAACUCACCAGCUCACCUGCCUGCCCGUGCCCUUGCACCGCUGAGCUAAAUCCCUGGCCCCCAAAAGGGUGUUUCUACAACCUGCCUCCCCACAGGAGGGUGCUUGGCCACAGCAUAUCUGGUCAAACCUUGGGGACACUGGCACGUGGGGAAACAUGGAAACAACCCACGUGUCCAUCAUGAUGCAUAAAUAAAAUUUGAUGAAGUGUUUUAAAAAUGUAAACAUCCACCCUAUACUUUGAUCACAGUUUUGGCCAUGCCACCCCGAGGGGGCUGGUUGAGGCAGAUCUCAGAGGCUAAGCAAGGUCAGCAGGUCAGCAGGUCAGCAGGUGGGUGGGGACUCUGCCCUGUGCUCUGCUCACACCUGGAGCGCCCAGCUUCCCGGGAUCAGGUUCAGGCGCCUUUGCAUGGCCGAAGCUCUGCCAACCAGUGAGCUCUGCGCUGGUCACUAGAAGACCUCGACUGUGAGUCCCUCAGGACCAGCCGGGCCUGUGUUCUCUGGGCUGGGCCACAGCACCAUGUUCCGUGCCCUGCAUGGACAUUAUGUGUCCCCUGCCUUUCUGGAGUCCACACGCCAGUGAAGGCAAUGGAGAAGCCAUGACCUUCCAGUCCCUGCAUCUGCUCUGCCCAUCCUCAUGCCAGUUUCCAGGUGCCAGCCAGGCCACCAGCUUCGAGACCAGUGCAGAUGAGAGCUACGGGUGCAGCGCGGAGCCCUGGGUCCUCCAGCUGCAGGGAGCCUCACGCGGUCAGACCCAUGCCACGGGCCCCAGAAGGGUCUCCUAGGGGACUCGCUCCUGCACCUGCAGAGGUGAGGGAUCCCAUUGCGAACCACCUGCAGGAUGUGGUGCGGGUCCUGGCGUCCCCAGGGCCAGAGGCAGGAGUUACAAUGACAAAGGUGGAAAGGAGUGUGUCUCACAGGCUCAGCAGUGAGACAGGGGCUGAGGUGUCCUUCUACACUGUCCUCCCUGGCCAGGCCCCCGGCUGGAGGGUCCCCCUGCCUAGAUCACCUGCUCACGCGUGGUCCUGUCUAUGGAGCCACUGCUCGGUACACAGUGGUGUUUGCUGCCUGUUACAUUCCUAGCUCCCUGAGGUCAGGUCCUCACUCUGAGUGCUUCCUGCCCACCCCUAUGCAUUCCCAGCCCACCUGCGGUUCCCUGAUUUGGUGCCCACAGCCUCUCUGUCCUGACCUACACACUGCUGUCUGUCCUCCUGCUAUAUUUGGCUGAGGUCAUUUUCUGUAUUUUACUUGUGGCUUUGUCUUUGAGAUAAAAGCUUGGUGCAAAGUA